GUAAAAUCUCCUGAAUCCUUGCUAAUCCUGACUAGGCGCUAAUCUACUGAGGUGUGCAUCAGAUCAGGCAAAGACAUGCUUCAGCAUAAGCUUCUUCAGGGAAGCUCACCGAAAGGUUAUGUGGCGCUGAUGGUUUACCUGACAAUCUGGACAGAUAUGCUGGAGUGUGUAAUGUUUUUACACAGGGAUAUGAGGUGCUUUUGAUGUGCUGUGAUGAGUAGACCUAUCAUACACAGUGCAUUUUCAGGAAAAGUGAUGGAGAUGCACAGACGGACAUUAUGGGUAGUUUUCUAAAAGGACGUGUUUAUUGUUAGCAUUAAAUCAUACAAAGCCAAUAAUGUAUUCACAACUGAUGUACAAAGAAAUCCUGCAUUAAAUAUAACGGUAAUCCAUUGAACAUGAUCAUGUGAAAUUGCUUAAGUAAGGAAUAAAACACUUGUGUGCGUUCUGUUAUAGGAAAAUAGUAAAUGGCAGGUUGGUGUGGUGCAGCCACAGAUGAAGCACAGUCACUGUUACCACUCUGAAGCUGAUUAUUUUCCAAUAACGACAUAUCCUAAAGUAAUUUAUCUUCUUAUAGCACUACUAAUUUGCAAAUGAUUACAAUUUUUAAUUUAUUAAUGUAUAACACAUUGUACAUUAUAUCCAUUUAUAGUUACAUUUAAUGUUCUGGACCAUUCACAAAACAAGUUAGCUCUGGUCACUUGCAUUAUAGCAACUUUUAACAACUUUUUUGUUCAGUUGUUGCUUGCAUCAAGCCCACUGUUUUUAAACACAAGCACCUGCCUUUAAGAUAUAAAUUUUAAACAUAUAAAUUCAUCCCUAAAGAACAAGCCAGAGGCGAUGGAUGGUGACAAAGAAAAUCUCCCUGAGACGACAUGAGGAAGAAACCUUGAGAGGAACCAGACUCAAAAGUGACACCAGAUAGACUGAUUAUAAAUAUGUUCUCUUCUCUUUUCUCGUCCUUUAAACCUGAAAAAAAUACUAUCGCAUGUAAUAUUGCAUUAUCAAAUGUAAUACAACAUAACAUUAAAGCAAUAGAUAAUUUAACAAUGAAAAAGGGUGACUAUGAUUAUAUAUAAAUAAGAAGAACAGAAAUAACAUCUAAUAGGAGUAGUAUAUCACCAAUAUACAGUAUUUCUGCAUAAAUAGUCCUAAUUGUAAUGAUUACAUUAACGACUGCGAAAUUUGGUUUCAUUUAACAACAUGGCUUCUUCCAUUAUUAUAGACUUAGAAAACAGCACUUGAUCCAGCAUAUCCGAUUACUUUGUAUAUCAUUAUUAUUAUGCAUUCUGUUAUUUUUUAUAUCAUGUGCCAACAGUUAAUCGUGCA
ensembl:lncRNA